UGCAACGCGAAGAACCUUGCCAGGUCUUGACAUCCAACGAAUCCUUCUGAAAGGAAGGAGUGCCUUCGGGAGCGUUGAGACAGGUGGUGCAUGGUUGUCGUCAGCUCGUGUCGUGAGAUGUUGGGUUAAGUCCCGCAACGAGCGCAACCCUUGCUAUUAGUUGCUAACAGGUUAAGCUGAGCACUCUAAUGGGACUGCCGGUGACAAGCCGGAGGAAGGUGGGGAUGACGUCAAAUCAUCAUGCCCUUUAUGACCUGGGCUACACACGUGCUACAAUGGAUGGUACAGAGAGCAGCGAGGCAGCGAUGUGGAGCGAAUCUCAAAAAGCCAAUCUCAGUUCGGAUUGUAGGCUGCAACUCGCCUACAUGAAGUCGGAAUCGCUAGUAAUCGCGGAUCAGCACGCCGCGGUGAAUACGUUCCCGGGCCUU
rnacentral:rRNA from 1 species